rnacentral:rRNA from 1 species
CAGCAGUAGCCGCGGGAAUACGGAGGGUGCAAGCGUUAAUCGGAAUUACUGGGCGUAAAGCGUGCGUAGGCGGUUCGUUAAGUCUGUUGUGAAAGCCCCGGGCUCAACCUGGGAAUGGCAAUGGAUACUGGCGAGCUAGAGUGUGUCAGAGGAUGGUGGAAUUCCCGGUGUAGCGGUGAAAUGCGUAGAGAUCGGGAGGAACAUCAGUGGCGAAGGCGGCCAUCUGGGACAACACUGACGCUGAGGCACGAAAGCGUGGGGAGCAAACAGGAUUAGAUACCCGGGUAGUCCCUGUCUCUUAUAC